CUAAGAAUAUUCCGCAAUGGGAGCAAUCCUGACGGAGCGACGCCGCGUGAAUGAUGAAGGCCGAAAGGUUGUAAAAUUCUUUUAUACGGGAAGAAUAAGGAUAGUGAGAGAAACGCUAUUCGAUGACGGUACCGUAUGAAUAAGCCCCGGCUAACUACGUGCCAGCAGCCGCGGUAAUACGUAGGGGGCAAGCGUUGUUCGGAUUUAUUGGGCGUAAAGGGCAUGUAGGCUGUGAUACAAGUGUGAGUUGAAAGACCGGAGCUUAACUCCGAGUUUGGCUUGCAAACUGUAUUACUAGAGUACAGGAGGGGAGACUGGAAUUCCACGUGUAGGGGUGAAAUCUGUAGAGAUGUGGAAGAAUACCAAUGGCGAAGGCAAGUCUCUGGCCUGUUACUGACGCUGAAAUGCGAAAGUGUGGGGAGCAAACAGG
rnacentral:rRNA from 1 species